rnacentral:rRNA from 1 species
GAUGAACGCUAGCUACAGGCUUAACACAUGCAAGUCGAGGGGCAGCAUGGUCUUAGCUUGCUAAGGCCGAUGGCGACCGGCGCACGGGUGAGUAACACGUAUCCAACCUGCCGUCUACUCUUGGACAGCCUUCUGAAAGGAAGAUUAAUACAAGAUGGCAUCAUGAGUUCACAUGUUCACAUGAUUAAAGGUAUUCCGGUAGACGAUGGGGAUGCGUUCCAUUAGAUAGUAGGCGGGGUAACGGCCCACCUAGUCUUCGAUGGAUAGGGGUUCUGAGAGGAAGGUCCCCCACAUUGGAACUGAGACACGGUCCAAACUCCUACGGGAGGCAGCAGUGAGGAAUAUUGAUCAAUGGGCGAGAGCCUGAACCAGCCAAGUAGCGUGAAGGAUGACUGCCCUAUGGGUUGUAAACCUCUUUUAUAAAGGAAUAAAGUCGGGUAUGUAUACCCGUUUGCAUGUACUUUAUGAAUAAGGAUCGGCUAACUCCGUG